AGGGUUUGAUCCUGGCUCAGGAUGAACGCUACGCGGUAGGCUUAACACAUGCAAGUCGAGGGGUAACAGGGUCUUCGGAUCGCUGACGACCGGCGCACGGGUGAGUAACGCGUAUGCAACCUGCCUGUAGCUGAGGGAUAGCCCGGAGAAAUCCGGAUUAAUAUCUCAUAAUAUUGCAAUUUCGCAUGUUAUUGCAAUUAAAGCUCCGGCGGCUACAGAUGGGCAUGCGUGACAUUAGCUUGUUGGUGAGGUAACGGCUCACCAAGGCUACGAUGUCUAGGGGGUCUAAAAGGAUGAUCCCCCACACUGGUACUGAGACACGGACCAGACUCCUACGGGAGGCAGCAGUGAGGAAUAUUGGUCAAUGGGCGAAAGCCUGAACCAGCCAAUCCGCGUGCAGGAUGACGGCCCUAUGGGUUGUAAACUGCUUUUAUACAGGAAGAACCCUCCAUACGUGUAUGGAGUUGACUGUACUGUAAGAAUAAGCAUCGGCUAACUCCGUGCCAGCAGCCGCGGUAAUACGGAGGAUGCAAGCGUUAUCCGGAUUUAUUAGGUUUAAAGGGUUCGUAGGCGGAUAAUUAAGUCAGUGGUGAAAUCCUGCAGCUUAACUGUAGAACUGCCAUUGAUACUGGUUGUCUUGAGUUUAGUUGAGGUAGGCGGAAUGUGUAGUGUAGCGGUGAAAUGCUUAGAUAUUACACAGAACACCGAUUGCGAAGGCAGCUUACUAAGCUAAUACUGACGCUAAGGAACGAAAGCGUGGGGAGCGAACAGGAUUAGAUACCCUGGUAGUCCACGCCGUAAACGAUGACCACUCGUUGUAUGUCAAAUUAAUGGCAUGUGACCGAGCGAAAGCAUUAAGUGAUCCACCUGGGGAGUACGUCGGCAACGAUGAAACUCAAAGGAAUUGACGGGGGCCCGCACAAGCGGAGGAACAUGUGGUUUAAUUCGAUGAUACGCGAGGAACCUUACCUGGGCUUAAAUGUAGGACGAUUUUUGCCGAAAGGCAUUUUCCCUUCGGGGCGGCCUGCAAGGUGCUGCAUGGUUGUCGUCAGCUCGUGCCGUGAGGUGUCGGGUUAAGUCCCAUAACGAGCGCAACCCUCAUCGUUAGUUGCCAGCGGAUAAUGCCGGGGACUCUAGCGAGACUGCCACCGUAAGGUGAGAGGAAGGUGGGGAUGACGUCAAAUCAGCACGGCCCUUAUGUCCAGGGCUACACACGUGUUACAAUGGUCAGUACAAAGGGAAGCUACCUGGCAACAGGAUGCAAAUCUCUAAAACUGGUCUCAGUUCGGAUCGGAGUCUGCAACUCGACUCCGUGAAGUUGGAUUCGCUAGUAAUCGCGCAUCAGCAACGGCGCGGUGAAUACGUUCCCGGGCCUUGUACACACCGCCCGUCAAGCCAUGGAAGCUGGGGGUACCUAAAGUCCGUAACCGCAAGGAGCGGCCUAGGGUAAAACUAGUGACUGGGGCUAAGUCGUAACAAGGUAGCCG
rnacentral:rRNA from 1 species